rnacentral:rRNA from 1 species
AUUGAACGCUGGCGGAAUGCUUUACACAUGCAAGUCGAACGGCAGCACGGGGGCAACCCUGGUGGCGAGUGGCGAACGGGUGAGUAAUACAUCGGAACGUGCCCGGUCGUGGGGGAUAACGUAGCGAAAGUUACGCUAAUACCGCAUACGAUCUGAGGAUGAAAGCGGGGGACCUUCGGGCCUCGCGCGAUCGGAGCGGCCGAUGUCAGAUUAGGUAGUUGGUGGGGUAAAGGCCUACCAAGCCGACGAUCUGUAGCUGGUCUGAGAGGACGACCAGCCACCCUGGGACUGAGACACGGCCCAGACUCCUACGGGAGGCAGCAGUGGGGAAUUUUGGACAAUGGGCGCAAGCCUGAUCCAGCCAUUCCGCGUGCAGGACGAAGGCCUUCGGGUUGUAAACUGCUUUUGUAUGGAACGAAAAGGCUCUGGCUAAUACCUGGGGCUCAUGACGGUACCGUAAGAAUAAGCACCGGCUAACUACGUG